CGAUCAGACACGGGAUUGUGGAGGACUGGGACCUCAUGGAGCGGUUCAUGGAGCAGGUGAUCUUCAAGUACCUGCGGGCGGAGCCUGAGGACCACUAUUUUUUAAUGGUGGAGGUGCCCCCCGAAGCCCCCCAAAGCGCCCUCCAGGCCGCCCCUCCCGGGCCGCAUGCCUGAUCUGGUCACCCAGGGGAGAGGUGUUGCCUUGAUGGUCUCGGCUCCUCGAGGUCCACUCUCGGGGCUGGGCAGGGGCCACUGCGGGCCACCUGGCCCGGCAGGGCGGGAGUCUGGUAAAUAAAGUUGAGCUGACUUAGGGGUCUCCGCCGUGGCACGUAACUGGUCUCGCCCAGACAAAAGCAAGCCCCGCGGAGACUGAGGAGCGGCCCUCGGCAGUGGCGUCUGCUCGUGGCCCCGGCCGCUGCCCCCCGCGGCGGGCCCCCUGUGAGGCGUGGCGGGGCGCCUCGAGAGCUGCGUCCCGGACACUCGCCGCCUGCGGAAGCACCCCCGGCUGUGCGUCUUCCCACAAAGAACCUGGGCACGUCCCGGGCCGAGCUCCGGGACUCAU